rnacentral:rRNA from 1 species
AUGGCCACGCCAAAGGGUGCUGACCACCUUCUCAGAAGGAUGGAUGAGAUUGAAUCAAAUAUUAGAAGCUUUAUGAAUUUCCAAUUUGAGCAUAAUAAUUUCUUUAGAAAAGAGCUUAAGGAACAAAAAAGUUUUUUGGGGUUUAUAAACAAAGAGCUUGAUGAUAUUAACAAAGAUUUCUAUGGUGUUAAUGCUCAAAUUACCCGGCUUGAAAAUGCUAUAGCCAAAGUUUCUGACAAGCAAGCCACCUUAGUCAAUAAGAUGUCCGCUAAACCAGAAAAAUUACAUGAAAAUAAUGAUGAGGAUCUUAAAGUUAUUGAUGCGUCUCCGAUUAGAUCUAUGUUUUGCAAUAUGAAUUUUGAUGAUUAUGGGACUGAUGAUGAAUCAACUUUGCCUAGAAGGCGUCCCAAGAAUUCGGAGUCUUUAGAUCUUAAUGCUAAAUUUGGUAAAAGUGAGAUUGGAGAAUCCUCAACUUCUAAUAACAUUGAACCCACUAUCUCGGAUUUCAAGGAAUUUGACUAUGAUAAUUGCUCUUUAAAAGGUUGUAUUUCCUUGUUGCAAUCCGUUGUUAAUUCUCCUCACACUUAUAGUCAAAACAAAGCUUUUACCAAAUGUAUUGUUGAUGCCUUGAUGCAAUCUUAUGAUGAAAAACUUAAUUUGGAAGUUUCUAUACCUAGAAAACCUAAUGAAGAGUGGGAACCUACUAUAAAGAUUAGAAUUAAAGAUUAUGAGUGUUUUGCUUUGUGUGAUUUGGGUGCUAGUGUUUCCACGAUUCUGAAAACUUUAUGUGAUAUUCUAGGUUUCCAUGAUCUUGAAGAUUGCUCUUUAAAUUUGCACCUCGCGGAUUCCACCAUUAAAAAGCCUAUGGGAAGGAUCAAUGAUGUUCUUAUUAUUGCAAAUAGAAAUUUGGUGCCCGUAGAUUUUAUCGUUCUUGAUAUAGAUUGCAAUCUUUCUUGCCCUAUUAUUCUUGGUAGACCUUUCCUUAGAACGAUUGGUGUGAUUAUUGAUAUCAAGGAAGGGAACAUUAGAUUCCAAUUUCCCUUAAAGAAAGGCAUGGAGCACUUUCCAAGAAAUAAAGUCAAAUUACCUUAUGAAUCUAUCAUGUGUACUACUUAUGAAUCAACUGCCAAAGACGGUACUACUUGA